ACUUGUGACCUAUACAGAAAUACUGAAGACGUCCUCUGUGUCCUUUUAGACUUUCUGGGGGAGGGAACAGCCGCUGCCCAGAAGCAAGCAGCUUCCUUUUGGCCAGGUCAGUGCAGGGAACCAACAAAGACAGGGACCUGUGGCCAGAAGAAGCACAGCCGCAGCAGGUGUCUGAUUGGACUGAGCCAGGAAAGGCCUUCUUGCCCUUAGGGACCCCUCAAGGCUUUUUUCCCAAAAGCUGGAAACUGCUUGGCUCACUGCUGUGCUAAAUGCAGGUGCCAGCCGAGGGGGUUACCCUAGGACCGUGAGCCAUUAACAGCUUGUCUCAAAUACACUUCUCCAAGGCAGUCAGCAACUCCCCACUGAACACCUGUGGGUUCCUGCUGGUGCUAACUUAGGCACGGGGCUAGCAGGUCCCUCCCCUGUAGCAGAUGAUGAGAGCAAGUGUGGUGCAGGAGGAACUGAAAAGAGAGCGUCGUCAGAGAUGACACUUGCGUGGAUUAAAACCAUAUAUUCUUGUGCAAUGUAAAAAUGCCAACUUGCAUCAGCGUAACGAAGGACACACUUAGAAUAGAAAAGCUGAGGAGGACAGAAGAAUAGGAAGAACAACAAAACCAUGCCUGGUCCUUUUGCCCAGAAAUGACCCAUGUGAAUCUUGGCUGAACUUUUAGACUUUUUCGUGGUGCACAUUUUUCAACAUAAUUUGACAACGUGGGACCUCUAGAAUUGUACAUUCUAAUUUUUCAGUCCAUUUAUUUCUUAUUCCAGAAAGAAUCCAUGUAUAAGGAUGGCUCAUCACAGUGUUGUUUUUAAUUCUGAAAAGCUGAAAGAUGGAUGCUCACCACUAGUGUUUAUACAUAAGUUCAAUAAAGUUAUGCUCUCACAAUAAAAUAUUAUGUAGUCAUUAAAAAGAACAAUCUCAUGCUAUGCGUAUUAUCAUGGAAGGAUGUCCCCAAGAUCUUGCUGAAAUGUUUUAAAAAGUCCCAAGCAGUGUAUAUAUAAUUUGAAGCUAUUUAUAUAAAAAUAUGGGUGUAUAUGUGUGUAAAAAAGGAUGUUUGGGC
rnacentral:lncRNA from 1 species